rnacentral:tRNA from 2 species
GCCGGGAUGGCGGAAUCGGUAGACGCGUCGGACUCAAAAUUCGAUGCCCGAAAGGGCGUGGGGGUUCAAGUCCCCCUCCCGGUACCA